GUCCACGCCUAACGAUGUCAACUGGGUGUUGGGAAGCAAUUUCCCAGUACCGUAGCUAACGCGUGAAGUUGACCGCCUGGGAGUACGGCCGCAAGGUUAAACUCAAAGGAAUUGACGGGACCCGCACAAGCGGUGGAUGAUGUGGAUUAAUUCGAUGCAACGCGAACAACCUUACCUACCCUUGACAUGUCCCGAGAGCCCGCUGAGAGGUGGGUGUGCCUGAAAGGGAAUCGGAACACAGGUGCUGCAUGGCUGUCGU
rnacentral:rRNA from 1 species